GAAUAAUAGUGGCAUAACCGUUGAAAAGCGGUGACGCAAAGCCGUGGGUCUAACGGAUUACCUAUGACUGCCUGGUUGCUCUU
rnacentral:ncRNA from 1 species